CAGGACGAACGCUGGCGGCGUGCCUAACACAUGCAAGUCGAACGGGGAUUUGUUUCGGCAGAAUCCUAGUGGCGAACGGGUGAGUAACGCGUAGGCAACCUGCCCUCCGGCCGGGGACAACACUCCGAAAGGGGUGCUAAUACCGGAUACGAAGUCUGUGCCGCAUGGUACGGAUUUGAAAGAUGGCCUCUAUUUAUAAGCUAUCGCCGGGGGAUGGGCCUGCGUCCGAUUAGCUGGUUGAUGGGGUAACGGCCUACCAAGGCGACGAUCGGUAGCCGGUCUGAGAGGAUGAACGGCCACAUUGGGACUGAGACACGGCCCAGACUCCUACGGGAGGCAGCAGUGGGGAAUCUUCCGCAAUGGGCGCAAGCCUGACGGAGCAACGCCGCCGUGAGUGAGGAAGUUCUUCGGAACGUAAAGCUCUGUUGUUCCUGACGAACCUCCCCUUUAUCAACAACGGAGGGGACUGACGGUAGGGAACGAGGAAGCCACGGCUAACUACGUGCCAGCCGCGGC
rnacentral:rRNA from 1 species